CUUUGUAGGUCCUGAAGAUGUUUUAAAAUUUCUCGGAAAUGAAAGUGCCGUGGAUCACUUCAAACUGGUAACGCGUGAUGGUGAUUCUUUACUAGUGGGUGCUAGAAACAUAGUCUUCAAUUUAAGCAUACAUGAUCUACAAGAACAACAACGUUUAGUAUGGAAUUCACCCGAAGAUGAUCAAAAAAUGUGUGUUGUCAAGGGUAAAGAUGAGGAGGCGUGCCAAAAUUAUAUACGCAUCAUGGUUGUUACCUCGCCUGGACGUUUAUUUGUAUGCGGUACAAAUUCAUUUCGUCCCAUGUGUAACACUUACAUAAUCAACGACAACAAUUAUACCCUGGAGGCAACUAAAAAUGGACAAGCUGUUUGUCCAUACGAUCCACGACAUAAUUCAACAUCAGUAUUUGCUGAUAAUGAAUUGUAUUCGGGCACAGUGGCUGAUUUCAGUGGCAGUGAUCCGAUUAUCUAUAGAGAACCAUUACAAACAGAGCAAUAUGAUAGCUUAAGUCUUAAUGCACCAAAUUUUGUUAGCUCUUUUACCCAGGGCGAUUUUGUAUAUUUCUUAUUUCGUGAAACAGCGGUGGAAUAUAUAAAUUGUGGAAAAUCUAUAUUUUCGCGUGUGGCACGUGUUUGUAAAUGGGACAAGGGUGGACCACAUCGUUUCCGCAAUCGUUGGACUUCAUUUUUAAAGUCACGUUUAAAUUGUUCCAUACCUGGCGAUUAUCCCUUCUACUUCAAUGAAAUACAAUCUGCUAGUAAUCUUGUCGAAGGACAUUAUGGUCACUCAAGCGCCAAAUUGAUUUAUGGCGUUUUUAAUACACCAACAAAUUCAAUUCCUGGCUCAGCAGUUUGUGCAUUUUCAUUGCAGGAUAUUGCGGAUACAUUUGAGGGCAGUUUUAAGGAACAAAGUGGCAUCAACUCUAAUUGGCUGCCGGUCAAUAAUGCCAAGGUACCCGAACCACGUCCCGGAUCAUGCCAUAAUGAUUCACGAACACUUCCGGAUCCGACAUUAAAUUUCAUCAAAACACAUUCACUAAUGGAUGAAAAUGUUCCGGCAUUUUUCGGUCAACCAAUUUUGGUUAGAACAAGCACUAUAUAUCGCUUUACACAGAUAGCGGUAGAUGCUCAAAUCAAAACGCCGGGUGGCAAAACUUAUGAUGUGAUAUUUGUGGGCACUGAUCAUGGUAAAAUCAUAAAAUCUGUUAAUGCAGAAUCAGCGGAUUCAGAUAAAAAGGUGACCUCAGUGGUAAUAGAAGAAAUUGAUGUUUUGCCAAAAAGUGAGCCCAUACGCAAUUUGAGAAUAGUGAGAACAAUGCAGUAUGAUCAACCCAAAGAUGGCAGUUACGAUGAUGGUAAAUUAAUCAUUGUCACUGAUAGUCAAGUGAUUGCCAUACAAUUGCAUCGUUGUCACAACGAUAAAAUCACCAGUUGCAGCGAAUGUGUUGCACUGCAGGAUCCAUAUUGUGCCUGGGAUAAAAUUGCUGGCAAAUGUCGUUCACAUGGUGCGCCACGUUGGCUUGAAGAGAACUAUUAUUAUCAGAAUGUCACAACUGGCCAACAUGCUGCAUGCCCCUCAGGUAAAAUCAAUUCCAAAGAUGCCAAUGUUGGUGAACAGAAAGGCUAUCGUGAUGAUAUGGGUCUUUUGGAUCAAAGACGUCAAAGUAAAGAUCAGGAAAUGAUCAAUAUUAUGCAAGAUAAAAACUUUGAAGGUCCACAAAUUUCUCCAGAUAUAAUCAAUGCUCAAUAUACUGUUGAAACCUUAGUGAUGGCUGUUUUGGCGGGUUCCAUAUUCUCGCUAUUAGUUGGUUUCUUUACCGGCUACUUUUGUGGUCGUCGUUGUCAUAAGGAUGAGGAUGAUAAUUUACCCUAUCCCGAUACGGAAUAUGAAUAUUUUGAACAACGGCAAAAUGUUAAUAGAAUUCAAGCUGAACCCAAAUUAUUACCUCAAGUUGAAGAGGUAACCUAUGCUGAACCGGUAUUAUUACCUCAACCACCAAGUCAAAAUAAAAUGCAUUCACCAAAGAGUACUUUACGUAAACCCAUGCAACAUCAUGGUGCACCCAAUUCCGAAACAUUCUUCCAAUUUCAGCCCGAUGGCUAUAAUACACAACAAACAUAUCGUUGUCGCGAUAAUUUCGGUACUUUAAGAUCUCAUCAAGUUAUGGGUGAUAAUUAUCGUCGUGGUGAUGGCUUUUCCACCACUCGCAGUGUCAAGAAGGUUUACCUUUGAGACGGGAGUGGGGCGGCUGAAACCAGUCAGGGAUUAAUUACCCAAAAUAUGUAACUCAACACCGUUCCAAUAGUCCACAACACUCUAGUUCGGCCUCAUCGCCUGUUAUGUCAAAUAGUAGUUCUAGUCCAGCACCACCAUCCAGCAGUCCAAGUCCGCAAGAGAGCCCCAAGAAUUGUAGUUAUAUAUAUCGUGAUUGAUUGAUC